UACUUCCAUUUAUUUUACGAUGUCAUAAUCUAGGCACCAAUGUACGUGGAGGCUGUUCGAAUCUUGCCGGACUUGUUUAAUUAUGAAUCACACGUGAACUUACAAAAAUAUGAGUAACAUUUUGGGCAUUUAUUCAUUAAUGUUACAUUUACAAUUUUUACAUUUAUCACUCAAAGGCAAGACGCUUCGUAGUUUCUAGAAGUAGCGUUAACUACGUAAAAUGAAGGAACAAACUCAGUUUCAUAGUUUAGUUUACCCGACCUGUUUCUUUAAUAUGGGAUAUCGAUCCAUACUUCGCCAUGAGACAGCCAUAAUAAUAGUAUAUAACAUAGUGAGCCACUACCGCAUCUACAUUUAAGUAAUGAGAAAAUAAUAUUCUAUCAUAAUAGAUGCAAGUCCUUUAUUAACAAAUACAAGCUUUAUUUACAAAGAGUGAGAGUUUCAAUUUUAAGUGGCCAGUUGGAUGCGGCCUGCAACCUUCGCGAGGCCAUGUGAUGACCUGUUUGAUUGGUGAUUUAUUGUUAUUUACGCGCCAUUAUAUGUAUUUACGGUUAUGGUGCCUUCAGGUAAAGAAGGUGGUCUAGCUGGAAGAAUCGGAGUAGAGUAUACAGAGAAAUUUAAUUUUGAGAAAAACAAUAAUCAUUGUUUAAAGUUUAAACCCAAUAGACACAGCCCACUCGAGUUUCUCGCCGGACUUUCUCAGUGGGUCGCGUUUUCGAUCCGGUGGUAGAUUCUGUGAAGCACUUGCUUGGGCCAGUGUUAGCAACACUUCCGGUUUGAGCCCAGUGAACUCUUACGCGUUAGGGUGAAGCUGAAAUAGCCUCUCAAGGCUAUCAGCAUAGGUAGGAUAAAAAAAAAUGUUUAAAAUAACUUAUCUACACCAUAAUGGUGAGUCCGUAGCCUGACUAAUCGGUAAACUAAUUAGCUACUAAUCAAUAAGUAAAAAGCGCGCUAGUACUGAUGGCCCCAUCAGGUCACCCCGAUAUGUUCAGGUGGGAGGGGUGGACUCCUAAGGGAUCGGAACAGAGCGAAAACCUAUCUCCGGCCCCCGGCUCGGUAUGGGAUGAGCUCCACCGCUCCGCCGCCUACAUCUGCGAAAUGCUGGACUCGCAGAAGUCGGAUUAACUAAUGGAUAUCCUUAACGCGUGGAAUAUACAUACAAUGCGGAUCCAAGCCACUGUGGUAAGCCGGGGGAUUGCUGUAUUCACAGUUAUGUACCAAAUAAAAUUUCAUAAAUCAAUAAAUAAUAUUUAUUCUCA